UGUAGCGUAGGUAUGGGUAAUAUUUUAUUAGUAAGGCCGUAAGUAUCUAAGUGAGUUUAUAGGUAUCUAUAGACAGCUUUUAAUAGCAAAUUAAUGGUAUAAAACUUGCACAUAGAACAUGAAAAUAAAAUGGAAACUCAUAAAGUUUCUACACUUUUAUUAUCGAACAUAACAUUCGGUAUAUAAUAUUAUUUAUAGUAAUCGUAACAUAAAAUAUUGGAGUGUAAAAUAUUGUGCUAAAGUUCUGAAAUGCAUUUGUUUAUUUUAUGAGAUGUAUGCUCGAUUGUUGAUGUGGUUUUGUUUGCUUUUAUCGUAUGGGAUUUCGAUUGUGACGUCGAACGUUAUAGAAAUGGAACAGACAUCGUUCUUCGGGUUCACCCACGAGGUAAGAAUCAGUCCAAGCACCAUGGAAUUAAUUGAGGAGCUGGAAGACGCAGUAUGGCAACACUCAACCGGUGACCGUCAAGUUAGGCGGUACUUCGACACUUAUGAUACGCCGUUCGUUGGAGAGAGUAGGCGGAAAAAUGUUUUGAAUUAUGAAUAAAAGGCUUCUUGAUGUA